UACGUAGGUGGCAAGCGUUGUCCGGAUUUACUGGGCGUAAAGAGCGCGCAGGCGGUCGUUCAAGUCGCGUGUGAAAGCCCCCGGCUCAACUGGGGAGGGUCACGCGAUACUGAUCGACUCGAAGGCAGGAGAGGGAAGUGGAAUUCCCGGUGUAGUGGGUGAAAUGCGUAGAUAUCGGGAGGAACACCAGUGGCGAAGGCGGGUCUCUGGGCCGAUACUGACGCUG
rnacentral:rRNA from 1 species